CCAGCGCGCGCGCGGGUGGCCGAGGCCGUGCGCGCCUGGGGAGCCGGGGACGCGCCUGAGUCACCGCCGCACAGAAUCUUCCAGGAGCCCCAGGCGCAGUUAGGAGGGGGGAUAUCGCGGCGGAAUAAGGAAACCGAGGCACGCAGACACCCCCGCCCCCGGGGGGAGAUUGCAACAAGGGCUCUUGAGCUGACUGCAAGGUGAAGCUUCCAUACAUUGCACAAAAGAUUCCCUCUUCAAUGAGAGAACAAGGGUGAGGGCGAGCAUUUGUGGCGGAGGCAUUCAGCCCACAGUUUGGCAGGGAGCGGCUGCUGGGUGACAGGCGGUUUCUACUUUAAAACAGUCACCAUUAUUACCACCGCUGCUGCAGAGAGGUGUCUAGGAGCUGGGAAGUUGUGAUCUCCCCGGCUCAGGAGGGAACCAAGCCGAGGCUGAGCAAAUCUGAGAUGGAAACUCAUGCUCUCCACUUCCUGAAAGCAGUCUGCCCCUGAGCCCCCUUGGAGUCUACCCCGGAUGGAUGGGAUGAAGGAAGCCAGAGGUAUCAGCCUGUCACUGUUCUUUGUCACAGAUCUCAAGGUCUACUCUCACCAAUGCUUUCUAUAAUCGCCACCCUCCCCCAAAACCCAAACAACCCGGGGUUUCUCUGUGUAGCUCUGGCUAUCUUGAAACCCACUCUGUAGCCCAGGCUGGCCUCAAACUCAGAGAUCCGCCUGUCUCUGCCUCCUGAGUGUUGGGAUUAAGGGCGUGCACUGCACCCAGCCUGUUUUCUUUUUGUUAUGGUGCUUGGGGCAGAACUCAGAGCUUCUAAAGAGAUGGGUGAGCACUGCAUGGUUGACCCAACCUCCAAGACCCUCUCUAGUGAUUUGAUCUGUUUGCUAGCCUGUUUCUUAAACUGCAGCAUAGACUCAGUCUGCCCAAGCGCCCCCCCCAUUGACGCGAGACUCCUCCUUUGAGUUUUCUUUGGCCACAGAGAGCAUCUGCGCCUCCUUCACUGUUGCAUCCCCAAAGGGUACCACAGCUCAGCAAAGCUCCUAAAGUU
rnacentral:lncRNA from 1 species